rnacentral:rRNA from 1 species
UACGAAGGGGGCUAGCGUUGCUCGGAAUUACUGGGCGUAAAGGGCGCGUAGGCGGAUAGUUUAGUCAGAGGUGAAAGCCCAGGGCUCAACCCUGGAAUUGCCUUUGAUACUGGCUAUCUUGAGUUCGGGAGAGGUGAGUGGAACUCCGAGUGUAGAGGUGAAAUUCGUAGAUAUUCGGAAGAACACCAGUGGCGAAGGCGACUCACUGGCCCGAUACUGACGCUGAGGCGCGAAAGCGUGGGGAGCAAACAGGG